AGUAGCUCACCUCUAACAACCCCAGACUCCGAAGGAGGGAUGGGAGGUGGGAACAAGAGUCCCCAGAACCCUGCUUCCUAGGUAGCCUGGUGUGCACAGCACAGCGGCGGAAAUCCAGCAGCUCUAGGUCGCAAGCAAGGUGGGAAGACAGAGCUGAUACCCUAUGACACUAUGAGGGUAUACAUCCCAUUACUUCCCGGGGUGCCCUUCCCCACCAACCCCAUUCUCCAAGUUCCUGACAGGACACUAUGUGUCCCUCAGGAUGCAAAUCACACUAAACAGCACAACCUAGCUUCUAGGCCCUUUCCCUGUGACCCCCAUCUCUGUACCUCACAAACCCCUAAAGUAUCCUCUGAUGACAAGGACUGUAUUGAUAUGGUACAAAUCCCAGCCCACUCUUUGCAAACUUGAUCUCGAACUCCCAGCUUCCUCCCCAGUUACAAUCAAUCCUUGUAUUUGCCAGGUGUUUGGGGAGACUCGCCUGAGACCAGUCCAGCACUAUAGCAGCUUGGCCAGCCCACACGCUGAGCUCUUAGGAGACACUCUGACCCUCAGGUUUCUGAGUCACUCAGUGUUCAGUCAGUGACACACCUGCUCGCUGGACUGUGUUCAUUCCCUCACUCUCACUCGCUGACUCACUGGUGCUUGAUCCAGCCUCGGGUAGAAAUUACGUAGCAAGGGCUGGAUGGCCAGGAACACACACCCUGACCUGCACCAGGCAGGAAUGUAACUGAACUUUCUCUCGGGCGGCCUGGCUUCUCUCAGAGCAGAGCCAGAGCUCCUGCACACCUAGGAAAUCCCAGGGAAGGAGUGGACCAGGAAACCAGAGAGAAGGGGAGGCCAGCCUCAAAGCUAAAUGCAAAUCCAAGGUCUACCCUGCCUCACCUCCAACACCCAGCUAUCACACAACGCGCAUCACAAAGACUCCCACAGCAGCACUGAAGCUCGCCCUACCUGUGGGCCCUGGAGGAAUAUUUUCUGGCCUUUUGUCUCUUCCUGUUGCCUGGAAUGUUCUUGGACACUCACAGAAAUAUUCUGCGUAAAGAUGGAGCUAUAAAAAUGCCUUCGAUUUAAAACCA